rnacentral:rRNA from 1 species
CUAUUAGGGGAGUGAAAUAGAACCUGAAACUGCAUGCCUACAAUCAGUCGAAGCUCUUUUUAGAGUGACGGCGUACCUUUUGUAUAAUGGGUCAUCGACUUGGUCUAUCUAGCAAGCUUAAGCCGUUAGGUGUAGGCGCAGCGAAAGCGAGUCUUAAUAGGGCGUCGAGUUAGAUGGAUCAGACCCGAAACCGAGUGAUCUAGGCAUGACCAGGAUGAAGGUAAGGUAACACUUACUGGAGGUCCGAACCCACACCUGUUGAAAAAGGUCGGGAUGAGUUGUGCCUAGGGGUGAAAGGCCAAUCAAACUCGGAGAUAGCUGGUUCUCCGCGAAAUCUAUUUAGGUAGAGCGUCACGUGAAUACCCUCGGGGGUAGAGCACUGGAUGGGCUAGGGGGACUCACCGUCUUACCAAACCUAACCAAACUCCGAAUACCGAGGAGUAAUGCGUGGCAGACACACUAUGGGUGCUAAGGUCCAUAGUGGAAAGGGAAACAGCCCUAACCGCCAGUUAAGGUCCCUAAAUUAUUGCUAAGUUGAAAAGGAUGUAGAACGUCCAAAACAGCCAGGAGGUUGGCUUAGAAGCAGCCACCCUUUAAAGAAAGCGUAACAGCUCACUGGUCUAAUCAAGAUGUUCUGUGCCGAAAAUGUAACGGGGAUCAAGCAAUAUACCGAAACUGCGGGUGCUAUUUAUAGCGCGGUAGCGGAGCGUUCCGUAAGUCUGUGAAGGAUAUUCGUGAGAAUAUUUGGAGAUAUCGGAAGUGAGAAUGUUGACAUGAGUAACGAUAAAGAGGGUGAGAAACCCUCUCGCCGAAAGUCCAAGGGUUCCUGCUUAAAGUUAAUCUGAGCAGGGUUAGCCGGCCCCUAACGCGAGGGCGAAAGCCGUAGUGGAUGGGAACGAGGUUAAUAUUCCUCGGCCAGUGGAUAGUGACGGAUUUAGUAAAUUGUAUUUCUUUAUUGGAUUAGAAAUGCUGUGAAUAAGUCCCAGGAAAUAGCUUCCACAUUAUUGACCGUACCCUAAACCAACACAGGUGGACAGGUAGAAGAUACUAAGGCGCUUGAGAGAACUACGUUGAAGGAACUCGGCAAAAUGCCUCCGUAACUUAGGGAGAAGGAGGCCCGAUUAGAAGGCAACUUUUAAUCGGGGGCACAAAAUUGGGGGUGGCGACUGUUUACUAAAAACACAGGACUCUGCGAAGCCGCAAGGCGCCGUAUAGGGUCUGACGCCUGCCCGGUGCCGGAAGGUUAAGAGGAGGAGUGCAAGCUCCGAAUUGAAGCCCCGGUAAACGGCGGCCGUAACUAUAACGGUCCUAAGGUAGCGAAAUUCCUUGUCGGGUAAGUUCCGACCUGCACGAAUGGCGUAACGACUUCCCCGCUGUCUCCAACGUAGACUCAGUGAAAUUGAAUUCCCCGUGAAGAUGCGGGGUAAUUGCGGUUAGACGGAAAGACCCCGU